rnacentral:snRNA from 1 species
CUUAGCAUAUGGAAGGAGAGAACUUCUCUAGCUGCGCGCUCGGUCGAAGAGGACGACCUUCCCUGAUAGAGGAGGACCGUUCUUCGGUCAAGGGUAUACGAGUAGCUGCGCUCCCCUGCUAGAACCUCCAAACAAGCUCUCAAGGAGAGAACUUCUCAACUGUCAGAAUUGCUUUUUGGAUCUGACUGCCUAGAUCUGAAA